AAACUAACAAGGAUUCCCCUAGUAACGGCGAGUGAAGAGGGAAGAGCCCAAGAUUGAAAGCUGGCGUCUUCGGCGUCCGCAUUGUAAUCUCAAGAAGUGUUUUCCGCUUCGGACCAAGCCUAAGUCCCUUGGAAAAGGGCAUCAUAGAGGGUGAUAAUCCCGUACAUGGCUUGGAGCGCCCGAAGCUUUGUGAUACGCUUUCUAAGAGUCGAGUUGUUUGGGAAUGCAGCUCAAAAUGGGUGGUAAAUGCCAUCUAAGGCUAAAUAUUGGGGAGAGACCGAUAGCGAACAAGUACAGUGAUGGAAAGAUGAAAAGAACUUUGAAAAGAGAGUUAAACAGUACGUGAAAUUGCCAAAAGGGAAGGGUAGGAGGUCAGAGAUGCGGCCUGGGAUUCAGCCUUGCUUUUGCUUGGUGUUUUUCCCAGAUUGCAGGCCAACGUCGGUUUUGGGCACUGGAGAAGGGUAGGAGGAACGUGGCACCCCUCGGGGUGUGUUAUAGCCUCCUACUGGAUACAGCGACCGGGACCGAGGACAGCAGCGUACUCGCAAGAGCGGGCCUUCGGGCACCUUUACGCUUAGGGCGUUGGCAUAAUGGCCCUCUACCAC
rnacentral:rRNA from 1 species